rnacentral:lncRNA from 1 species
CCUCCCUCCAUCUUGAGUUUCCUGAGAGUGUCUCAGAUUUGAAACUCUUCCUUUUACUUUCCAUCUUUGGAAGAAUCCAAAUCAAGAAGAAGGAGGCACCUGAUCAACCAUCAAAGAAGGAUCAGCGCAGUACUAGCAUACUGUGUUGAUUUCCUGAAGCAGGACUUCUGAUCGAGAUUCGUGGGCUCGUGUGGACGACUCCUAGAGGCCGGACGCAUGUGCGGCUUGCAACAUCAUCCUUAAGCCCGGAUCAGUGAGGUUAGAGCGUCUAACUUGCAAGGUAAUAGAUCUGAUCUAUUGUUUAAUACAUACAUUAGAUGUGGUAUAGAAACAUGUUGAUAUGAUCAACAUGUAGUUCAUGCUAUAUUUAUAUAUUUUAAUUUCUGAUUUAAUGCUAUGUAAUAAUCAUAUAAUAGAAUCUUAGAUCUAGAAAUUUUUUGAUUUUAGAAAAUAAAUUUUGAUUUAUUUUAGUCUUCCGCUGUAUGAUCUUGAAAAAGUUUCAAGAUCUAACCCUGAAACCCU